rnacentral:lncRNA from 1 species
ACCUCGGGGGUUUCCUGCUUUAUGGCGAAGGCGAAAAUGGAGAGACCCGGAAGGCGUGUGUGCGCCCGCCUCUCCCACAGGAGGGAGCGCGGAGACCCGGGAGCGGCCUAGGACCGGAGGCGCGACCCCUCGGCCCACCUUGAGGCCCGGCCUAGGACCGGAGGCGCGACCCCUGGGCCCACCUUGAGGCCCGGCCUAGGACUGGAGGCGCGACCCCUCGGCCCACCUUGCGGGAGCCGCCUAGGACCGGAGGCGCGACCCCUCGGCCCAGCUUGAGGCCCGGCCUAGGACCGGAGGCGCGACCCCUCGGCCCACCUUGCGGGAGCCGCCUAGGACCGGAGGCGCGACCCCUCGGCCCACCUUGAGGCCCGGCCUAGGACCGGAGGCGCGACCCCUGGGCCCACCUUGAGGCCCGGCCUAGGACUGGAGGCGCGACCCCUCGGCCCACCUUACGGGAGCCGCCUAGGGCCGGAGGCGCGACCCCUCGGCCCAGCUUGAGGCCCGGCCUAGGACCGGAGGCGCGACCCCUCGGCCCACCUUGAGGCCCGGCCUAGGACUGGAGGCGCGACCCCUCGGCCCACCUUGAGGCCCGGCCUA